UAGUAGUUAAAACAUUGGCUGUAGAACAUGUGCUAAUUAAAUGCCUAACUUUUCCCCCUUUGUCAGAAAAUAGAAGCACGAGUGUCUGCCGAUGAGGACCUCAAGCUUUCCGACCUUUUAAAAUAUUACUUAAGAGAAUCUCAAGCUGCUAAGGAUCUCCUCUAUCGAAGAUCCAGGUCACUAGUGGAUUAUGAAAAUGCGAAUAAAGCACUGGAUAAAGCAAGAGCAAAAAAUAAAGAUGUCCUGCAGGCUGAAACAUCCCAACAGUUAUGCUGUCAGAAAUUUGAAAAAAUAUCUGAAUCUGCAAAACAAGAACUUAUAGAUUUUAAGACAAGAAGAGUUGCUGCGUUCAGAAAAAACUUAGUGGAACUGGCAGAGUUAGAACUGAAGCAUGCAAAGGGUAACCUACAGUUGCUGCAGAACUGCUUGGCAGUGUUAAAUGGAGACACAUAAGCCGCACUCCACCUUCGGCUAAAAAGGGCUGCCUUCCUUCAGAUUUUAUUUUUGUUUUCUGAAUGAUAUUAAAGCAUUUACUGCUCACCGGGAAGAAAAGAAACAGCUGACAAAGCGCAUCUACUCUCCUUUUUUCUGAGAAACAACGGAGCGGAGCCGUCCGUGGGUUCUGCCGAUCUGUGGGGGGACACUGCCCUCCUGUACCCGAAUGCUCCCUGGGACAGCCGUGGGUCACCUCGCGCUCCUCCUCUUCCAAAGCCCAAAGUUCAGUCUUUUCCUUAAGUAGCCUCCGUAGCUGUGUUUAUUUUAUGCGUAGUAUUCCUUCUGGCUGCCAGCCGCAUUUACGUUUAAGUACUUUCUGAAGUUUAACCCUUUUAAAAAUACAUUGUUCAAACAAGGUAAAGAUCGCCGGCCGUCACCUUCUUCUGAAUUUUGUUUUCAAAAGACAUUGUGUACCUACCACCUUAGUUCAUUCAUGUAUCCUGGUAAAGCGUCGUAAUCAGACUUAUUUUUAAUUAAUGAACAUUUCUUAGAAGUUUUGGGACAGACUUUAUGUAAUCUUUAUAAGUAUGAUUUCUGAUGAAAAGCAAAUGCAUUAGUAUGUUUGCCUUAAACUUGUAGACUAAACCAACUAUUAUCAAAUAAAAAGUGAUAACAGUGAUAGUUUUUUUUAACUCUGUGGUCAUUGUAUCACUCUAAAAUUUGGAGUAGCUAUAACCCGUCUACUCCUUUGUUAUGCUUUACAGUACAGGUCCUACGUUUUCUUUUUCUUUUUCUUUUUCUUAAAAUGGCAUAUUGAACCAAGUUCACCAGUCCCUCUACAAAAGGAUGAGCUGCUUUCCUGUGUGCGCUUUUUUGCAUUUCAUAGAAGAUGGGAUUGGGCAGAGGCAGGUUAGAAACAGCCAUGUCUAAACUACGGGAGCAGACAAAAUAAACGGUCUGUUACGGUUUCCUGGAUUCCGUCUCCAUCUAGCUCAGCUGAGGAACCAUGCGACGUGCCAUUGAGCCACUUGAUAGUCAUACUGGUGUGUAAAUCGGUACGUAGAGAGGAAGAGUGCUCUAGGGAACAGCACUUGUCGGUGGGGGAACGGUUGGAAUAAAAAGGAUACUACUUGUCAGUAAUUACGAAUAUUAUUGGCCUUUUGGAUGUAAAUUAACAUCCUGUCAUCUCUCCUUUAAAAUUAGGUUGUAUGGUUUGAUUGUUUUUUUCUUUUUCUUUUUAACUGUCUAACUUUUCCUCCAGUUGGAAGCCACAGGUAUCGUGGGUGGGUUCCUCGUUUACAUUUUCCCAGACCCUGUUUGUAGGUCUUAAGGGUAGUCCCCAGGAUUCCAGCCUCGCAUGUUCUCUUGCCUCACUGGUGUGCCAUUUAAUGUUUCUUUCACUGAGGUGGUUCCCUGAUGCCGCUUGAGCCUGAUUUUUCUGUUGCCUGAGAAAUCUCUGUGUUUUGUCCUCCCCCACGUCUCCUUCACUGGUGAAAACAUGCCCAUGCGAUGCUCUCCGGUGGGUGAACAUGGGACAGAGCCCCGGCUUCCCGACUCGGGUGCGGCCCUUUCACCGGCGGCCCUUGUGGCCUGAGGCGGGUGGGCUUGACCUGUGUCUGCCUCAUUUUCUCUACUACAAAGGACAUACUGACCUACCUCACAGGGGUGUUGUGAGGAUGAAUAAACAUUGGUACAGUG